rnacentral:rRNA from 1 species
UACGUAGGGUGCGAGCGUUGUCCGGAAUUAUUGGGCGUAAAGGGCUCGUAGGCGGUUUGUCGCGUCGGGAGUGAAAUCCACUGGCUUAACUGGUGGCUUGCUUUCGAUACGGGCAGACUGGAGGUAUGCAGGGGAGAACGGAAUUCCUGGUGUAGCGGUGGAAUGCGCAGAUAUCAGGAGGAACACCAAUAGCGAAGGCAGCUCGCUGGGACGGUAUUGACGCUGAGGCGCGAAAGCGUGGGGAGCGAACAGG